rnacentral:SRP_RNA from 1 species
GCCAGGCACAGUGGCUCACGCCUGUGAUCCCAGCACUUUGGGAGGCCAAGGUGGGCAGAUCACCUGAGGUCGGGAGUUUGAGACCAGCCUGACCAACAUGGAGAAACCCUGUCUCUACUAAAAAUACAAAAUUAGCCGGGCAUGGUGGCGCAUGCCUGUAAUCCCAGCUACUUGGGUGGCUGACACAGGGGAAUCGCUUGAACCAAGUAACUGGGAUUACAGGCAUGUGCCACCAUGCCCGGCUAACUUUGUAUUUUUAGUAGAGACGGGGUUUCUCCACGUUGGUCAGACUGGUCUCAAACUCUCUACCUCAGGUGAUCUGCCCACCUU